GACGAACGCUGGCGGCGUGCUUAACACAUGCAAGUCGAACGGAAAGGCCCUGCUUGCAGGGUACUCGAGUGGCGAACGGGUGAGUAACACGUGGGUGUUCUGCCCUGCACUUCGGGAUAAGCCUGGGAAACUGGGUCUAAUACCGGAUAGGAGCCAUUUUUAGUGUGAUGGUUGGAAAGUUUUUUCGGUGUAGGAUGAGCUCGCGGCCUAUCAGCUUGUUGGUGGGGUAAUGGCCUACCAAGGCGGCGACGGGUAGCCGGCCUGAGAGGGUGGACGGCCACAUUGGGACUGAGAUACGGCCCAGACUCCUACGGGAGGGAGCAGGGGGGAAUAUUGCACAAUGGGCGCAAGCCUGAUGCAGCGACGCCGCGUGGGGGAUGACGGCCUUCGGGUUGGAAACUCCUUUCGCUAGGGACGAAGCUUUUUGUGACGGUACCUAGAUAAGAAGCACCGGCUAACUACGUG
rnacentral:rRNA from 1 species